UGAUGUAGAAGCCAACCACAAGUUUAACUCUCGAACCUAUACCACCACUCUGCAAAGCUUAACUCUGGUAGGAAAAUGUGUAUAGAUAUAUAACUAGAAUUAACAUGCAAUGUAUUAUUUCAUCAAUUAUCACAAUAGGCCAGAGAUUAAUGCCCUUCAAAAGGAUUGGUAUCUUCCUUAAUGACAUAUUAGCACGUCAUAAAUGACAUAUGACAAAUGGUUGAUAAGCAUAAUCUUAAUUUCACCUAGACUGAAAAUUAUAAUAUCUAAUCUCACACAGACUGAAAAUCAAAACUACUUGAUUAAGUUGUACUACCAUACGGCAACACUGUGACCCAGGAGCAGUGAGAAUUGCUACCAAUUAUUACACCGCCCUGUCAACCAAAGAUAUUCCCUUGACUAAAGCAAAUCAUUUUAGGGAAACGCAAAAGAUUCUUUCAAAACCAUUUAUUAUUCACAAAAGUUCCAACUUUUCCUCAAUUCUACUUGACAUUUAAGAGAAAAGAUCCUUUUUAAAACAAGUAUUAAGUAGAAAUAUCACAGAAAUACUGUACACAAAUUCUCUGCUUUUCUUCUGUGCAUGUUUUUGUGUCCGUGUGUGCGUACAUUUACAUGAAUGUCUGUGCGUGUGUGUGUGUGUGAGAGAGAGA
rnacentral:misc_RNA from 1 species